rnacentral:rRNA from 1 species
GACGAACGCUGGCGGCGUGCUUAACACAUGCAAGUCGAACGGAAAGGCCCUGCUUUUGUGGGGUGCUCGAGUGGCGAACGGGUGAGUAACACGUGAGUAACCUGCCCUUGACUUUGGGAUAACUUCAGGAAACUGGGGCUAAUACCGGAUAGGAGCUCCUGCUGCAUGGUGGGGGUUGGAAAGUUUCGGCGGUUGGGGGUGGACUCGCGGCUUAUCAGCUUGUUGGUGGGGUAGUGGCUUACCCAGGCUUUGACGGGUAGCCGGCAUGAGAGGGUGACCGGCCACAUUGGGCCUGCGAUAGGGCCCAGACUCCUACGGGAGGCAGCAGUGGGGAAUAUUGCACAAUGGGCGGAAGCCUGAUGCAGCAACGCCGCGUGCGGGAUGACGGCCUUCGGGUUGUAAACCGCUUUCGCCUGUGACGAAGCGUGAGUGACGGUAAUGGGUAAAGAAGCACCGGCUAACUACGUG